rnacentral:rRNA from 1 species
UACGGGGGGGGCAAGCGUUGUUCGGAAUUACUGGGCGUAAAGGGUUCGUAGGUGGCCUGUUAAGUCGGACGUGAAAUCCCUCGGCUCAACCGGGGAACUGCGUCCGAUACUGGUGGGCUUGAGUGCAGGAGAGGAACGCGGAAUUCCAGGUGUAGCGGUGAAAUGCGUAGAUAUCUGGAGGAACACCGGUGGCGAAGGCGGCGUUCUGGACUGCAACUGACACUGAGGAACGAAAGCCAGGGGAGCAAACGGG